GUCCUCACCUUCUCAGCCCAGAUGGCAACGUGGCCGUUGGAGGUGGUCACCACAAUGUCAGGAGGAUCGAACUGGCUGACGUCGGCCACCACCUGGUUUUGGGGCCAGGAUCCCUGGGUCCUGCUCUGGGUUGCUGAUGUCCCUAUACGUGGUGGUGGCACAGGGGUCAGGGGGCAGGGAGCCCCUCAUCGUGGCAUCAGCCUCCCCCGGCAGCUUGGUCAUGCAGAGUGACACCACCCCAGACGAGGCAACAUCAGAGAUUUUGCGGCGGAGCGUGAAGUCCUUGCUCAGCACCACCUCGUCCUCGGCAGGCGAGAGGCAGGCC